CAGCAGUGGGGAAUAUUGCACAAUGGGGGAAACCCUGAUGCAGCCAUGCCGCGUGUGUGAAGAAGGACCUUCGGGUUGUAAAGCACUUUCAGUAGGGAGGAAGGUAGUGUAGUUAACACCUGCAUUAUUGACGUUACCUACAGAAGAAGCACCGGCUAACUCCGUGCCAGCAGCCGCGGUAAUACGGGAGGGUGCGAGCGUUAAUCGGAAUUACUGGGACGUAAAGCGCAUGCAGGCGGCCUGUUAAGUCAGAUGUAGAAAGGCCCGGGGACGUUAACCUACGGUAAUUGCUAUUUAGAAACUGGCAGGCUAGAGUCUUGUAGAGGGGGUAGGAAUUUCAGGUGUAGCGGUGAAAUGCGUAGAGAUCUGAAGGAAUACCAGUGGCGAAGGCGGCCCCCUGGACAAAGACUGACGCUCAGAUGCGAAAGCGUGGGGAGCAAACAGGAUUAGAUACCCUUGUAG
rnacentral:rRNA from 1 species